rnacentral:rRNA from 1 species
CAAGUCGAACGGCAGCGCGGGAGCAAUCCUGGCGGCGAGUGGCGAACGGGUGAGUAAUACAUCGGAACGUGCCCAAUCGUGGGGGAUAACGCAGCGAAAGCUGUGCUAAUACCGCAUACGAUCUACGGAUGAAAGCAGGGGAUCGCAAGACCUUGCGCGAACGGAGCGGCCGAUGGCAGAUUAGGUAGUUGGUGAGGUAAAGGCUCACCAAGCCUUCGAUCUGUAGCUGGUCUGAGAGGACGACCAGCCACACUGGGACUGAGACACGGCCCAGACUCCUACGGGAGGCAGCAGUGGGGAAUUUUGGACAAUGGGCGAAAGCCUGAUCCAGCCAUGCCGCGUGCAGGAUGAAGGCCUUCGGGUUGUAAACUGCUUUUGUACGGAACGAAACGGCCUUUUCUAAUAAAGAGGGCUAAUGACGGUACCGUAGGAAUAAGCACCGGCUAACUACGUGCCAGCAGCCGCGGUAAUACGUAGGGUGCAAGCGUUAAUCGGAAUUACUGGGCGUAAAGCGUGCGCAGGCGGUUAUGUAAGACAGUUGUGAAAUCCCCGGGCUCAACCUGGGAACUGCAUCUGUGACUGCAUAGCUAGAGUACGGUAGAGGGGGAUGGAAUUCCGCGGUAGCAGUGAAAUGCGUAG